CUGCGAUGAUGGCUUCCUUAGGACACCUUUGGAUCAACUGUGAAAACAACUCCGCUCUGAGCAGC
rnacentral:snoRNA from 1 species